GAGAGUUUGAUCAUGGCUCAGGAUGAACGCUGGCGGCUUGCCUAACACAUGCAUGUUGAACGAGAAGUUCCGGAACAAGUCUUCGGACAAGGGAAGGGACGGGAAGUAGCGAACGGGUGAGUAACGCGUGGGCAACCCACCUUACACAGGGGGAUAACACAUAGAAAUUUGUGCUAAUACCGCAUAAGCGCACAGUACCAUAUGGUACUGUGUGAAAAACUCCGGUGGCGCAAGACGGGCCCGCGUCGGAUUAGCUAUUUGGUGAGGUAAGAACUCCCCAAGGCCACCAUCAGUAGCCGACCUGAGAGGGUGAUCGGCCACAUUGGGACUGACACCCGGCCCAAACUCCUACGGGAGGUAUCACUGGGGGAUAUUGCACAAUGGACGGAACUCCGAUGCGCCAAUGCCCCGUGAACGAGGAAUGUUUUCCGAUUGUCAACUUCUAUCCGCAGGGAACAAAAUGACGGUACCUGACUAAGAAUCCCCGGCUAACUAUGUGCCAGCAGCCGCGGUAAUACAUAGGGGGCCAGCGUUUUCCGGAAUGACUGAGUGUUAAGGGUGCGUACGCGGUAAGGUAAGUCUGAUGUGAAAGACUGGGGCUCAACUCCCGGGGUGCAUUGAAACUAUGUUACUAGAGUACAGGAGAGGAAAGCGGAAUUCCUAGUGUAGCGGUGAAAUGCGUAGAUAUUACGAAGAACACCGGUGGCGAAUGGCGGCUUUCUUGACUGAAACUGACGYUGAGGCACGAAAGCGUGAUGAGCARACAGGAUUAGAUACCCUGGCUAGUCCACGCCUGUAAACGAUGAGUGCUUAGGUGCUGGCCUAUAGGGGGGUCGGUCGCCGAAGUUUAACGCAAUAAGCACUCCACUCUGGGGAGUACGGCCGCAAGGCUGAAACUCAAAAGAAUUAACGGGGGUCCGCACAAGCGGUGGAGCAUGUGGUUUUAUUUCGUAGCAACUUGAAGAACCUUACCAGAUCUUGACAUCUUCGUGAAGUAUUCUAUAAAAUGGAUAAGUCCUUCGGGACAGGAAUGACAGGUGGUGCAUGGUUGUCGUCAGCUCGUGUCGUGAGAUGUUAGGUUAAGUCCUGUAACGAGCGCAACCCUUAUGUUUAGUAGCCAGCGGGUUGGGCCGGGCACUAUGAACAGACUGCCGUGGAGUACACGGAGGAAGGCGGGGAUGACGUCAAAUCAUCAUGCCCCUUAUUAUGUGGGCUACACACGUGCUACAAUGGCGGAUACAAAGGGAAGCGAAGGGGAGACAUGGAGAGAAUCCGAGAAAGUCCGUCCCAGUUCGGAUAGUAGUGUGCAACUCGACUACAUGAAGUUGGAAUCGCUAGUAAUCGCAGAUCAGCAUGCUGCGGUGAAUUCGUUCCCGGGCCUUCUACACCCCCCCCGUCACACCAUGGGAGUUGGGAGUGCCCAAAAGCAGUGGUCCCACCGCAAGGAGGAAGCUGUGUAAGGCAAGGCCGUUAAAGGGGGGGAAGUCGUAACAAGAGGCCCCUGAGAAGUUUUUAAAUCAUCACCCCCUCCAAGGGGGAAAAUCCCACACCCGGGGGGCGUUAUAAUAGGUGCACCGGGAUGCGUAAACCAAUUA
rnacentral:rRNA from 1 species